ACGAACGCUGGCGGCGUGCUUAACACAUGCAAGUCGAACGGUGAAGGGGCCUGCUUUUGUGGGUCCUGGAUGAGUGGCGAACGGGUGAGUAACACGUGAGUAACCUGCCCCCUUCUUCUGGAUAACCGCAUGAAAGUGUGGCUAAUACGGGAUAUUCUGGGUCUGUCGCAUGGUGGGCCUGGGAAAGGUUUUUUCCGGUGGGGGAUGGGCUCGCGGCCUAUCAGCUUGUUGGUGGGGUGAUGGCCUACCAAGGCGGUGACGGGUAGCCGGCCUGAGAGGGUGGACGGUCACACUGGGACUGAGACACGGCCCAGACUCCUACGGGAGGCAGCAGUGGGGAAUAUUGCACAAUGGGCGCAAGCCUGAUGCAGCGACGCCGCGUGAGGGAUGGUGGCCUUCGGGUUGUGAACCUCUUUCGCCAGUGAAGCAGGCCUGCUCCUUUUUUGUGGGUGGGUAAACGGACGCUGAUAAGAAG
rnacentral:rRNA from 1 species